UACGGGGGGGGCAAGCGUUGUUCGGAAUUACUGGGCGUAAAGGGCUCGUAGGCGGCCAACUAAGUCAGACGUGAAAUCCCUCGGCUUAACCGGGGAACUGCGUCUGAUACUGGAUGGCUUGAGUUUGGGAGAGGGAUGCGGAAUUCCAGGUGUAGCGGUGAAAUGCGUAGAUAUUGGGAAGAACACCUGAGGCGAAGGCGGGUUGCUGGGCUGAUACUGACGCUGAGGCGCGAAAGCCAGGGGAGCAAACGGG
rnacentral:rRNA from 1 species